rnacentral:lncRNA from 1 species
GGUCGGGAUCUGGUCUAUGAUCUGGUUCGAGAUCCUGUUUGGGUUUCGAUUUGGAUGAAUGCCAGGGAUAUUUUCUUUAUUGUUAAUAAUUUUUUUAUUAUCAGAUGGAUAUCAACAAAAGUUGGAUGAAUACUAGGGAUGCUUUCUUGCUUGAAUACCAAGAGCAUGUUCGAAAUUUUAUUGUUCAUUAUUACAUUCAUUUAUAUGUCAAGUUAGUUAUAUGCAUGAUUUAAGUAUUGCAAGUAUGGCACCAGGAGGGAGACGACCACGUUCGAGUUUCCAGCCUCCUCUUGAGGAGCCUUCCCCCAGAGGGUGUUGCAGAGGUGGGUCCAAGUGAUAUUUUAAUAUUUUUUAUAUAAUGUAAUUUGAUUUCAAUUGUAUCUAUUAAG